GCCUGCUUAGCUCCGUGGUUAGAGCCUCGUAUUUGUAAUGCGAAAGUCAUCGGUUCGAUUUUGAGAGUAGACU
rnacentral:tRNA from 1 species